rnacentral:rRNA from 1 species
UACGUAGGGAGCAAGCGUUGUCCGGAAUCAUUGGGCGUAAAGCGCGCGUAGGUGGCCCCGUAAGUCCGCUGUGAAAGUCAAAGGCUCAACCUUUGAAAGCCGGUGGAUACUGUGGGACUAGAGUACGGAAGAGGCGAGUGGAAUUCCUGGUGUAGCGGUGGAAUGCGCAGAUAUCAGGAGGAACACCAAUAGCGAAGGCAGGUCUCUGG